GACGAACGCUGGCGGCGUGCCUAAUACAUGCAAGUCGAGCGGAGUUGUCCCUUCGGGGACAGCUUAGCGGCGGACGGGUGAGUAACACGUAGGCAACCUGCCUGCAAGACCGGGGUAACAUGUGGAAACGGAUGCUAAUACCGGAUACGCGAUUCUCCUGCAUGGGAGGAUCGGGGAAGGCGGCGCAAGCUGCCGCUUGCAGAUGGGCCUGCGGCGCAUUAGCUAGUUGGUGGGGUAACGGCUCACCAAGGCGACGAUGCGUAGCCGACCUGAGAGGGUGAUCGGCCACACUGGGACUGAGACACGGCCCAGACUCCUACGGGAGGCAGCAGUAGGGAAUCUUCCGCAAUGGACGCAAGUCUGACGGAGCAACGCCGCGUGAGUGAUGAAGGUUUUCGGAUCGUAAAGCUCUGUUGCCAGGGAAGAACGGCCGGGAGAGUAACUGCUCCCGGUAUGACGGUACCUGAGAAGAAAGCCCCGGCUAACUACGUGCCAGCCGCCGCGGUAAUAC
rnacentral:rRNA from 1 species